GAGAGUGUAGCUCAAGUGGCAGAGCGCCUGCUUAGCAUGCACAAGGUUCUGGGUUCCACCCCCAGCACCCCCU
rnacentral:tRNA from 1 species